GAAUGAAUAAAUAAAGAAGAGCACUUGAUGGAUGCCUUGGCGCUAAGAGGUGAUGAAGGACGUGGUAGGCUGCGAUAAGCUGCGGGGAGUUGUCAACAAGUUUUGAUCCGCAGAUGUCCGAAUGGGGAAACCCGGUCAAUUUAUUGGCCAUUGCAUGCUGAAUUCAUAGGUAUGCAAGACAAACCCAGUGAACUGAAAUAUCUAAGUAGCUGGAGGAAAGGAAAUCAACAUGAGACUCCGUUAGUAGUGACGAGCGAACGCGGAACAGGUCAGUGGUCUAUAAUUAGAAACUGGAAUGCUUUGGAAAGGGCAACUAUAGUGGGUGAUAGUCCCGUACAGGUAAGAAGGUUAUAGGCCCUUGAGUAGGGCGGGGCACGUGAAACCCUGCUUGAAUAUAGGGGGACCAUCCUCUAAACCUAAGUACUCCUUAGCGACCGAUAGUGAACAAGUACCGUGAGGGAAAGGUGAAAAGAACCCCGGUGAGGGGAGUGAAAUAGAACCUGAAAUCGAGUGCUUACAAUCAGUUGGAGCUCGCAAUAGAGAGCCGCGGCUUGCCGCGGUUAGCUGUGCGGGUGACAGCGUACCUUUUGCAUAAUGGGUCAGCGAGUUAAUCUGUUGAGCAAGCUUAAGCCGUUAGGUGUAGGCGUAGCGAAAGCGAGUCUGAAUAGGGCGUUGAGUUUAACGGAUUAGACCCGAAACCAAGUGAUCUAGCCAUGGCCAGGUUGAAGGUGUAGUAAAGUACAUUGGAGGACCGAACCUGUUACUGUUGCAAUAGUAUUGGAUGAGCUGUGGCUAGGGGUGAAAGGCCAAUCAAACUUGGAAAUAGCUGGUUCUCCGCGAAAUCUAUUUAGGUAGAGCGUUAUAUUAUAUGUUACUGGGGGUAGAGCACUGAAUGGACUAGGGGGACUCAUCAUCUUGCCAAAUCCAAUCAAACUCCGAAUACCAGUGUACAGUUCUAUAGCAGACACACUGCGGGUGCUAAGUCCGUGGUGGAGAGGGAAAGAGCCCAGAUCGCCGUUUAAGGUCCCAAAAUUAUGGCUAAGUGUGGAAGGAUGUGAGAAGACCAAUACAGCUAGUAGGUUGGCUUAGAAGCAGCCAUCCUUUAAAGAAAGCGUAACAGCUCACUUGUCUAGAUAAGUUUUCUUGCGCCGAAGAUGUAACGGGGCUAAAGCCAUAUACCGAAGACGCGAGUGCCUGGUUUACCAGGCGCGGUAGCGGAGCGUUUCGUAAGCCUGUGAAGGUGAUCCGUGAGGGUUGCUGGAGGUAUCGAAAGUGAGAAUGCUGACAUGAGUAGCGUAAAAGAGUGUGAAAACCACUCUCGCCGAAAACCUAAGGUUUCCUGUGUUAAGUCAAUCUGCGCAGGGUUAGUCGGACCCUAAGGCGAGGCCGUAAAGGAGUAGUCGAUGGGAAUCAGGUUAAUAUUCCUGAACCUUUUAAGCGUGACGGAUCUUGUGCAGUGUGCGUCUUAUUGGAUUGAUGCAUGCUUUAAAGAGGUCCCAGGAAAUAGCGCUUAAGUUAAUAAGUCCGUACCGCAAACCGACACUGGUAGGUGGGUAGAGAAUACUAAGGCGAUUGAGAGAAUGAUGCUGAAGGAACUCGGCAAAUUGCACCUGUAACUUAGGGAGAAGGGUGACCUGUCCGCGGGCAACCGUGGGGAGGUGGCACAAAAGAGGGGGUAGCGACUGUUUACUAAAAACACAGGGCUCUGCUAACACGUAAGUGGAUGUAUAGGGCCUGACGCCUGCCCGGUGCUGGAAGGUUAAUAUGAGCGGUGAGAGCUGCAAGUUGAAGCCCCAGUAAACGGCGGCCGUAAAACUGACGGUCCUAAGGUAGCGAAAUUCCUUGUCGGGUAAGUUCCGACCCGCACGAAUGGCGUAACGAUUUCCCCGCUGUCUCCAGCAUCAACUCAGCGAAAUUGAAUUCCCCGUGCUGAUGCGGGGUACCCGCGGGUAGACGAAGAGACCCCGUGCACCUUUACUAUAGCUUUACAUUGGUGUUAGAGGCACGAUGUGCAGGAUAGGUGGGAGACUUUGAAGCUGGGGCGCCAGCCCUAGUGGAGUCAUCCUUGAGAUACCACCCUUCGUGUUUUUGGCAUCUAACUAUGCUCCAUUUUUCUGGAGCUAGGACAUUGUAUGGUGGGUAGUUUGACUGGGGCGGUCGCCUCCUAAAGAGUAACGGAGGCGUGCGACGGUAGGCUAGAGCUGGUCGGAAAUCAGCUUUUAUAGUACAAUGGCAAAAGCCUGCCUGACUGCGAGGCCGACAGGCCGAGCAGAGACGAAAGUCGGUCAUAGUGAUCCGGUGAUUCCGUAUGGAAGGGUCAUCGCUCAACGGAUAAAAGGUACGCCGGGGAUAACAGGCUUAUGGUGUCCAAGAGUUCAUAUCGACGACACCGUUUGGCACCUCGAUGUCGACUCAUCACAUCCUGGGGCUGGAGCAGGUCCCAAGGGUUCGGCUGUUCGCCGAUUAAAGUGAUACGUGAGUUGGGUUUAGAACGUCGUGAGACAGUUCGGUUUCUAUCUUCCGUGGGCGUUGGAAAUUUGAGAGGAUCUGGCUCUAGUACGAGAGGACCGAGUUGGACAUACCUCUGGUGUACCAGUUGUCGUGCCAACGGCAUUGCUGGGUAGCUACGUAUGGACGGGAUAAUUGCUGAAAGCAUCUAAGCGAGAAACCCCCCUCAAGAUUAGAUUUCCCCAUUAGGGCCGUGAGAGACUAUCACGUUGAUAGGCCGGGUGUGUAAGUGCGGUAACGUAUGUAGCUAACCGGUACUAAUAGCCCGAUUGGUUUAGUCAUUUA
rnacentral:rRNA from 1 species